rnacentral:lncRNA from 1 species
UCAACUCCUCCAUCCAGGUAUUCCUCCCUGAAUGACAGCAAUCAACUUGGUUUGUGUUUAUGAUAGCCAAGUAUGUUAAUUCUCACCCUCAUUGGUCAGAGUUCUCUGUCUUCCCCCCUUCUUUCCUUUCCUUCCCUCUCUCCCUCUGUCCUGUGAAGACCAGUGAAUAUGGGUUCCCCUAGGCUAAGCACAAAAUAGAAGAGAGG